rnacentral:rRNA from 1 species
GAUGAACGCUAGCUACAGGCUUAACACAUGCAAGUCGAGGGGCAGCACAGUGUAGUAAUACAUGGGUGGCGACCGGCGCACGGGUGCGUAACGCGUAUCCAACCUUCCCGAUACUCAGGGAUAGCCUUCCGAAAGGGAGAUUAAUACCUGAUGGUGUUCAAAUUCCGCAUGUUAUUUGAACUAAAGAUUUAUCGGUAUCGGAUGGGGAUGCGUGACAUUAGAUAGUAGGCGGGGUAACGGCCCACCUAGUCUACGAUGUCUAGGGGUUCUGAGAGGAAGGUCCCCCACACUGGAACUGAGACACGGUCCAGACUCCUACGGGAGGCAGCAGUGAGGAAUAUUGGUCAAUGGUCGGAAGACUGAACCAGCCAAGUAGCGUGAAGGAUGAAGGUUCUAUGGAUUGUAAACUUCUUUUAUACGGGAAUAAAACCUCCUACGUGUAGGAGCUUGUAUGUACCGUAUGAAUAAGCAUCGGCUAACUCCGUGCCAGCCGCCGCAGUAACAC